CCGUCCCUACGGGAGGCAGCAGUGAGGAAUAUUGGUCAAUGGGCGCAAGCCUGAACCAGCCAAGUCGCGUGAGGGAUGACGGUCCUAUGGAUUGUAAACCUCUUUUGUCGGGGAGCAAGGCCCGCCACGUGUGGCGGGAAGGAGAGUACCCGGAGAAAAAGCAUCGGCUAACUCCGUGCCAGCAGCCGCGGUAAUACGGAGGAUGCGAGCGUUAUCCGGAUUUUUUGGGUUUAAAGGGUGCGUAGGCGGAAGGUUAAG
rnacentral:rRNA from 1 species